UGCUUAUGUCAUUUCAUUGCCGGUCCCAAGCCCGGAUAAAGGAGGAGGGGGAAGGAGAUUAGUCGGGAAGGAAUUCAAGUAAUUGUGGUUGAUGUUGGACCAUCCUCAAUAUCGUCACACGUACAAGAGGUAAAGCUGGUUUGUUGCAAGUUUUCUUAAAUUUAUUUGUGUUGGUUCAAUUUAUUGGUUUUGGGGAGCUGUGUUUGUUCGAAGUACACGAGUAGGAAGAACUGUCUGUAGCAACCUAAGACUACUGGGGUGUCAAUCUAGUCCCGGUGUAACAAAUGCAUUAGUUUUUGUUUAGGUUCAUCUUCUCCGCAGUCUACAAUCGAAACUCCAUGAUUCAGCGCAGCUUUGCACCGGGUGUUACACUAGCUCAGCUGGAAUUCAAGGAAUAUGCCGCCAAAGUUGGCGUAGAUUUUGUCAGAAAACUGGUUUGCACUACUGAUGUGCCAUCAAGUUAGAAAGAGCAGCUGAACGCUGUAUAAGUGUUUGAUUGAGAUCAUAUAUAACUAUGGCAUUCAGGAGGCUAUCAUUUUCAUCAUCGAUAUCUCUAGGCGAUAUCCUAACACCUAUCAGUCCAUCAUUGCAAUACUUUACGAGGGAUUAGACACCUGAAAGCAAAGGUUUCUUGGAGAGCUUCCCAGAAGAUCCUCCUCUGGUUCAGUUACAUUUCCUUACGGUCACUAUUAAAUUGUUUAUGAAGAAUCCAACAAAAGGCCCACAAAGAAUGAUUUAGGUAGUCCUGAAUAAUAUUACUGUUGAGACGGACAAUCCAAUUCUGCGUGGGGCCUAUAAUUAUUUGCAAGUCCAACACGGUAUUUCCAGGCUGCAAGUCCACAGAAGUAAUCGGCUUCAGACAAUAAAUAUGGUGGAGAUGUCCUCAAAUCCAACACGGUAUUUUCCAGGCUUUACAUGUUAGGGAGGACGUACAAGUUUAAGCUUCUCGCAAAAACCAUCAAAAAGGAUGGGCGACUAAAGGAUACAUUGACACUACUAACGAAUUUAGUUUCGUCUUCUUGUAUUUGUAAAGAAAGAAAUGAUUCAAUCUUUAUUUGUAUGACUCUUUUGCUUGUUUCAAAAGCAUAUUAGUAACGAUAUUAUGAGAAAUUAAUAUAGU